rnacentral:rRNA from 1 species
AUGUGCAAACUGAGUUGCAAUAUUUUCAUGCAUUUGACUUCUUGUGAUAAUAUAUUGGUUUUAUAUUUCACGACUUUAGAAGGGUGCUCUUGUAUAACAGUCUCACAUGUGCCACAACUGAGAUCAGUCAAAAUGGAUGACAUAUACACAUACAACGUGUACACCUUGUCUCUUUUGUUAGCCACAUUUCAGGUUAAGCAACGCCGAGGACGGCUUUGUUUUCAAGAAGGGGAGGAUGGUGAGGACAUGGCUACCACAGUUACACCCAUAUCCCCUGCUGUUUUACCUCUUGGAACAAUUGCUAGAGAUCGCAUAUGCCAGUUAAAUUACCAGGUACUUUCGUUUCUUGGUAAUGUUUCUAGUGUUCAUGAGAAUAUGAUGCUGCCUAACUUAGAUACAUUUGUGUUGCUUGCAAUUGAAGGGCCUAGCACACACAAGAAGGAUGAACAUUGGAUCAUGAGCAAGUACGGAGAUGAAGGUGCGUGCGAAGAGAACAAGAAUGAAGGUUCUAGUGGAGAUUUCCGGACUUUGAAGCCACCAUGA